CAUCACCUGUGCUGCUAGGGAGGAGCUGAGAGUAGCAGCUGUGGGGUGAGGAGUUAAAGCACAGCAGGGUGUGCAGGUCCUAGGAUAAGGGGUAGGCACUUUGUUUGCUGUUGGGAUAUGGCAUAGCAGAAGCCCUUAGAGCUGCUACAGGGAGCAGAGAGUGCUGAGACACUCAAGGAUUGGGGGGAUUAUGGCAGUCCUAUGGCCAUCCCACCUACUUCCACCAUGGAGAAGCAGCAAUCUGUGUGAAACAUCACCUGAGCUGUUAGGACCUGCUGGAGCAUUCCCUCUCGUGUUGGCCAGUGACCCAUAUGGAGCAGCAUGUUGCUGCUGAAUGGUGGCAGCUGCACCCACUGCAAUUCCCAGGCCUGGCACCCAUUCUCACAGUUGAGAUGUUGGCAAGUGAGGGAGGUGACAGGGCUCAGCCCCUGCCUCCUCCUGUUCUGGCUUGUGCAUCACAAUCCAUGCUGGCUACAGUGCCCUGGCAAGGCAGGUGUCCUGCUCUUGCUGCACACAACCAGAGGAAGUUCCCAAUGGGAAUCAGUCCCCACUCCUGCACUGCAAGCACAGCACUGUGAACCUUUUGGGGUGACAUUUGGCAAAAACAGAAGUGGAGGCUGAAUCUGCUCUGAAAGCCACAGUGUAGUUGCAAGCUUGGUCUGGCAAGGGGAUUUCCUGCACUUGCACAUCCCAUCCUAGCACAGGAGGUCUGACUGGAGAAAGCUGUGGGAUCCCAUUCUGAUAGAGAACCACACUGUCUGUAAAGCUGCUCACCUACCUCUGCCAAAAUGAGAAUCCUGAGCCUAAGCAUUGCAGGAAGCCUCAAGAACACAGAAUAAAUCCAACCUCACAAUUCACUGGAAUUAAGAGGUGGAGUGUUUCCUACAGGUUUUAUGUCUGGUAUGAUUUAUUAUUUAAUUUAAACACAUAAUUUCCAGCAGUUUCGUUUUGCAAGCAAUCACCUGGGCUAUGUUAACCUGAUAGUGACGUACUGCUGUCCUGGGGUGCCCUGGGAGAGAGAGAGCAAGAGCAUAGCACUCAGAGGUGUGAUCUUCCCCUGUUUAUCUUGAUGGGGUGCACACAACCUUGGCAGAGAAGCGAGUCCAAACAACUUAACCAUGUCACUGCCAGAUGCUGCUGUUGAAAGGGCUGGUGGUACAGCAGUAUGAGCUGUAUGGGCCAUGUCAUUUCUCCACUCAGAUCCUUCCAGCACCAAGGGGUGCAGGUUGUCUGGCAAGGAUUCAUGGUUAUGCCUGCUAAAGACUCCUGGAACAUCACAGAGCAGGUUACAGCCAACCCUGCAGGAGAGCAGAGACCACAGCCUUUAGUGGGACACGAGCUAGAAACUGGGCAGCUCCCUUUACAUUCAGAGCUCAUCUGGCUGGCUGUCAGCAGAGUCUUGCAGAGCACAGUGCUGAGCCUCUUGUGCCAGUUUGGAGACUCCCUUUUGCACCCAGAAGUGUGCCUGCAAAAGCCCCUGAAGAUGGCAGAUGCUACAGAGGAGUGGUCCUUUCCUCCGAUCACAGCUUGCUGCAGCACGGUGGGUGUUGCAGCAGCUCCUUUUCAUGCAAGGCCACCUGAGCAAGGUUUCUUUGGGGCCCUGGGGAUAUUUAAGCUUUAACACAAAACUGUUGCUUAAGGCUUUUAGGACCUUUUAAUGCCCAAAGCGGGAGGUGUGAGGCUGUUCUCAGGCUGUCACACAUCACAAGAUACAGCCCCUAUACCUCUGUGUGUCACCUUAUUCCUGUGAGCUAGGGGCAAACACCUCUUCCAACAGGAGAGGUGUCUGAAACAGCCUUUCCAUUACAUUUAUAUUUAAAGACCUAACAGUGACUGAAGCACUUUGCAUAAUAAACGCAUCUAAAUACAGAAAUAUUUGCCUGCUCUCAGUAUAAAAGGAAGUCCUCAGAUCCUCUUCUGAAGACUGCAAGAAAGCGACAGAGUUUUCCCUCUACGGGAUAUAAAUAUGCAGUGCAAAUAGGUGGCUGCUGUCUCUGCUUACGUGUUGAUGCAUCUCUUCAGAUAGCCUGGCAGAGCUGGAUUAUUUUAGCAUCAAAUCAAAGCUCAGGAUGUGUAAAGAAGCUGAGGAAAGGUACAGUCUGUGUUGCAGCACAGGAUGGUAGCUGCAAGAAGAUUGGAAGCAGUCCUGUGAGACACGCACCAGCCACGCAUACUAAAGCUGCCAUUUAGUGCAUCGAAAAGGAUCUCAGUUCAGCAGGGCUGCUGCAGAACAGAAGCAGAUGCCUUCAGAUUCAGGUUGGGGCAGGGGAUUGCUCUCAUAGGAAGGCGUGUGAUUCAUCCUCACAUUAGCUGAAAGAAGAUACAGCUUUUGUUUCCUUUUUAGUUUCCAUUUCCUCAUGAGAGAAAAAUAAAAGGCCUGUUUACACUGGAAGAAGAACCGC
ensembl:lncRNA